CCAGGCACCCCUGAAAAACAAGUUUCUGAUAAAAAAGCGUACCAUUGGAAAGUUCCCAUCUCUUUUGCAUUUCCAAGAGCCACUGGGGAUGGAUACUCAGGGUAAAGUACGGACUGUGCUACUCUGGCCAACGCCAGCCCCGUCCACUCUGGCCAUCAUUUGCACAGCCUUUGUCACUUGCUCCUGACUGCCAACAUCCAGGCUUCACAGAUGGCUUUUGGUGCUGCAUCUCAGGCUACGUAUCAGUCACUGUUCAGUUGUGGAUCUGGACCAGAGCAGGAAGGUAACUUCCCACCCUUUAAGUUCUGUUCUGUUACUGUGUGCUCCCAGCUGAGGCCCUCAGCUCCUGAGUGUUGGGAGACAGCUCUGUUUGUUUGCAAAAUAUGCCUUCUGGUUCCAAGUGUUCACUUGCUCCUGGAGUAGUUCAUUUGGGAUGUUGUAAACAGCUACCAUGCUGUUAAUUGGAAACAUCACUCCUCUCCAAUCUUCGGGUCCUGUUGCUGAGUCCAUUCAUUGUGCCAGGUUCCACCUUAAGUAGGUAUCAGUUCUCCUUCGAGGCUCUUUCAUCACCCUGUGGUUUGCCUACUGUCAUCAGCACCUGAUUCAUCAGACAUUCCCAUGGACAUUGGAACCUCUUCAGCCCCAAUGGCGCCUAACUCCACAUGCCAGACCUAUAUUGGGUCAGCCAGUACCUCUGCUAUAAAUAUAGGAAAUGUGAUAUAUUUAGUGCAGCUAUUUAAAUUUCAUAAUCUAUGAUCACCUGAAUAUAGGAACUAAUUCAUUCAGAAUCAAACUAUUUGGAAAACUAAAACAACUGAAUUUUUGUACCACUUAAACUUGGCUUUUAAUACUUUUACAUUUUGAGAUAAUUAUAGACUGUACAAAAUAAUCCAGAGAUCCCAUAUACCUUUAUCCAGUGUUCCCCCAAUGGCAACAACUUGUAUAACUAUAGUACAAUAUCACAACUAGCAAAUUGAUAUUGAUAUAAUCCAGCAACACGUUCAGAUAUCACCAGUUUUAGUUUUACAUGCACUCACGUAUAUGCCUGUGUGUCUAUUUAGUGCUAGGCAAUUUUAUCGCAUACACGGGUUCACACGGCCACCAAAAUAUAGGACAGUUCCACCUGUUCUGUAGGAACCUUCAUGCCACCCUGCUGACACCACCCUGGUGGGAGAUGAGGAACUCUGCCUGCUUCCAACUGGCAGGAAAUGGAGAAUCAGCCCCACCAAUAUGACUGGGCGGGAGAACUGGAGCCCCACCACCUGCUUCUGCAGGGAUGGGGGUGAGGAGGAAGAUCAGCUCCCUAUUCUGCCCCACUGAACCUAGGGAGAGGGGGAUACAAUUCUCUACGAAUGUCUGGCCAAAGUAGGGCAAGAUUGCCAAAAAGCCUUUGUAUGGUUGAGGCCGCUCCUUCGUUGGUUCGUUGAGUAGGAGGAACAGAUGUUUCUCGUGGCUUACUUUAUCCAUGCCUACUGAUGGUUCCAGGAUGGAAGCUACUAUAGUACCCAGCCUGGGCUAUAUGGGAGGCAGUAAGGAAACCUAGAUUCGUCACCAUGUUAUUUCUCAAGUCCCAGAGUCCCUAGGCAGUCCAUCUUCUUCUUUCCUCCUUUGAGUCUUCCUAUGUUUGUUUGAUAUAUUAUGUCCACAGUUGUAAUAAGGAGCACCUGGAAGGAAAAGGGUGCUCCAUCCUGGCUAGAACCAGAGGUCUUAUCUAUACUUGAUUUUUAAGAGAAAUAAAUAGAUAACAGGUAUGUUGAUACCAACAGUUAACUCAUGGAAGCAACUUUUCAGGAUGUUACCAUUUUCGUCUGGUAUUCUGUAUCUAUCAAUAUUCCAUGUCUCAUAGAUGUGUGUGUGUUACAUACCUUGGCAUGUGACAAGAAUUUGUGUUCAAAAUGAGAAUAUUCUGUGAAUAGCUUCUGAAGCACCGAAGAAAAUGAAAGUAUCUUCUCUGCA